GACAGUCCCUAGGUGGCGUUGUCGCACCAGUUGUCACUUCUGGUUGCCUUCACUGAAACUCUCCUCACUGAUCUUUCCUCCUCCUGCGACACCAGCAAGAAAUGUUUUGCCAUCAUCAGAUUAAGUAAGUAAACUCCACACGGAUCAGUGCCACGGUGGAAUAGAGUUUUUGAUCCCUGACCUAUUUUCGUCAGAUCACUAUCGCCAGAUUAUGCAACGCUCCAGUGCAAGAGAACCGAGCGAACCAAAACUAUAAACCGUAUAUGGGGGGUAAAUCCCAUCUGAUUCUCGUCAGCUAAUAAAAAUAACAGCUCUAAUCCACCAGACAGCCCAUGGGCGUGUGCCGAAGUUGACAGAGCAUUUAUUGUCAGGACACUUCCGCAUAUGACGCAGUUUACCACUUCUGGGACGUCUCGUGGGUCGUGAACUUUUAAGACAGGUAGGUGUCUGAUACAUUUCCGCGAUACUGUGAUUUGGUUGAAUGUGUCAGUGGUAUAAGUUAUAACCAAUAUUAAUCACAGCUUUAAGAGGACAAUUGGUAGAGAUAACGGACACUCCUCCAUCAAUAAUCCUAAAUUUAGGAGAAAAAAAAUGCGAAAAAUACGCCCAAGAAAAAAAUGGAACCGCCCCCUCUUAUUUCCCAGAGAGCACGCAUCAUGGAAAUCAGAGAAAAACAGCUGAAAUUGUAAGAUAUAUAAUAGUGAUCAAUAUUAGGGUCGAAAUAAAGAAACUCGAUGGUUUACUUUACUCCAUACUUUCACUUCCUGUUUCCAGUCUUUUAUUCAUUUUGUUUAAUUCUGUUGGCUGUAGAUACAGGAAUUUAUGAAUGUGUGUGGUUUCUACAACAGAAAAUAGAGAAGUGUAUUAAUACAAAUAUAUAACCAUGAAUGCAAACAUUGGUUAAUCACUAUAGACCUACACACACACACACACACACACACACACACACACACACACACACACACACACACACACACACACACACACACACACACACAUGCAUAUAUGUACAAUGUUUGCUUCACUGUGAUUUGUCAGCACAGCACCACUCCAGUCUAGCUUCUCACGUUCUCUUUUUGACAGCAGUUACUUCCUUGACUGUGUGUGAACCAGCAUCAUGGUGAACCAUUGUGGUCUGCUCUCUGCAAGAAAGGAACCAGGUAGAGAGCUUCAAAAUGCUUUUUAUUUAUUUAUUUAUUUUACCAAUACAGAAUCUUUAUUUCCUGUCUUUUAUUCAAACCUUAAAACUAACUUCGACUUUUGUUGCUUUAAACAGAUUUAAAUGAUUUUAACAACAACAACAAUAAUAAAGAAUUAUGUAAAUUUGUUGUAUGUUUUGUUUUCUUUGUUGUUACUUUAUGAGUGUUUGCUGUUGAUGAUCGAUGAUCAUUAUGUUUCUCUUUGUUACUUUGUCAGUUCCCUUAAAGAGUGUGGAGGUGGAGGUGGAGGUGAGGGACCAUGUGGCUACUGUGGUCUCCACUCUCAAUUACGAGAACAAAGAGGACAAACCAUUAGAAGCUGUUUUUGUCUUCCCUCUGCCUGGAGAUGCUGCUGUCUGUCAUUUUAGCGCUACGCUUGGACAGACACAGAUCAUUGCAGAGGUCAAGGAGAAACAAGAGGUGAGCAACACAGUGAGGAUUGACUAUUUACUGUGAGACUAUCAGUAUAAUAAAUGUAAAAAUUAAGGUGACUCAUGUAAUCUGUACUCUAGGCACGUGAGGACUACGAUGAUGCUUUAAGCUCUGGUUUGGAAGCCUUUCUGUUGGAGGAGAGUGAGCAAAGUCCGGAUAUAUUCUCCCUGAGUGUAGGCAGUCUUCAACCCGGAGAGAGUGCCUCAAUCAGGCUGGAAUAUGUCACUGAGCUGAAUGUGCAGGCUGAUUCUGGACUGAGGUUUUGUCUGCCUGCUGUGCUUAACCCUCGCUACCAACCUAAGGGUAGGUAAAACGAGCAAAAACACGUGUCAGUAACUUUGAAACUGCAUCUAUAUUGGUGGAUUGGCAUUGCACCUUUUUAUUAGUGCUUGUAAAAGUCAAAUCUUUAAAACUUGAAACUCAGCAAACUAAGAGACAAAGUGGUUGACCACUUUGAGCAGCCCCAUUAAUGACAGCCUUAUUAGGCCAUGAGCCAGGGGGGUUGGUCGGUAUCAACUGAGGGGAAUAAUGCUCAUAGUGAUUUUUGACAUUGUAUACAUGUAUAGAGUUAGAAAAUAUGUGAUAGCAUUGCAGCAGUGGUAGCUAAAUGUGUGCUAUCAUGCAUUUUAUUUUAUAACACUAGGCGAAAAUUACAUGGGUCAAUAUAUAAAAACAUGCAACUUAACCCCCCAAAAAACCUAUAGAAAGGGUUUCUUUUCACCAUACAUCAUUUCUAUAAGGUGUCUAGACUAACAUAAUAUAAGUCCUAUGAAAUCCUAGUUUGAAAAGUAUUUUAAUUUCGCCAGACAACAAUACGCAAAUGAGCUCAAAACUCAUUAAAAUUUGCCCAAAAUACUCCUUUUCCCCUGAACUAUUAUCACAGUGAAACUAUUAUCACAGUGAAAGCACAUUGAAAGAGGGUGAUGGCAAUGCUGCUUUUGGACCGGCCUCUAACCUGAAAACUGCCCGGCUUGGUUGUACCUACCAGGGGUAUAACCCCGGCCGGCGUAGUCUUCAGGGUCACUGAGGCACACGAGCCUCCCCACCACGACAAGGUAGUAACAAUAGGGGAGGGUGUUUUUUUUGUGUUUUUUUUUUGUGUUUUUGUAUGUUUAUUUUUGCCCGGAUCCUCUCCACCUUCUCUACAUGUCAGUUCCUGGCUUGUUCUUUGCUUUGUCCUGGGACAGAGGUAAACCAAGAAAGGUGGUUUUGGUGUAUAUCCCUACGUUUGCCAUUCAGGAAUAGUGUAGGCCUGAAUCUCUCCAAUUCUCAAUUAUACAGAUCAUACUUUUGACUUCUAUAUGUUUACAACCUAAUAAUCAAAAUCAUUUUCAUCACUAUCUUUCACGUCAGAUGGAUGGAAAGGCCAAGGACUCUCAGUCAUCUCCUGUUUUAUGACUGAUCUAAUAUGAGAUGAAGUCUGAUCUAUGAUCUUGUUCAAAUUGGUUGACUUGGCCCUCCAAACUUUGAGUUCCCUCUGCAGUGUUUGAUUUUUCAAGACAACAUCCCUAAAUGAUGCACUUUGUGGUACGAUCAGCAAUUUUCCUUUCUCAUUUGGGAAUAUAUGUACUAUAUUGCCCAGCUCAGAUUCAAGAUUCCUGCAAAUAUUCUUCCUUGUAUAAUCUCGCAAGCAUGUAAUUCCUCUAGACAGCAUUAAUUGUUCAAGUUUCAAGACCAAAGAACUUGCUUGCACAAUGGUCUUAUUGGGUAUGAUAUCAGCUCUGAUAUAUUUGAAAAGAUCAAUAUAGGCUUCCCUUUCAAUGUUUUUAUACAGUUCACCACGAUCUGUUUCCUCAUUUUUCUUUUUGCACACAGGUUCCUUUUUCUUGAUUCGUGUAUAAUCUUUAUAGCAUGACACAUGAUAGUGGGCCUCUGCAGCAACUAUGUCUCUGCUUGUUACUGCUAGAAUAUUUUCAUCCCCUUUUUGAGUUGCACACUCUCUUGAAGUUUAGUCAGCUCUGAGUUGUACAGCUUGUGUAAGCUUUUCACGCAACUUGGAGCCCUUUAAAAACUUCUCAUUCUCAUACAAAAGAUGCAGAUAUGAUCAUACACCCUUGAUGCUGAUGAAGAUCUCCUUUUAGGCCUUUUUGAUACACAGCCGUACUCAACAUCUUCAUCACCAGUAAUGCUUUCCUUGGCUUUCUUUUUCAAUGACUCCAAUUCCCUCUUCAUGGUGAAGAGGCUUUGGCAUUUUCUGUGAUAAUAAAUUGUAGGCACAUCCUUUUCUCUAAUAUUUUUUAGCAAUGUCUAAAAUAGGGGCAUGGUUUCUCACUUUGGCUGCUUCAAGUAAUGUUUCCCAGGAUUUAUAGUCUUGGGGACUAACUAAAUGUUCACCAUCAUCCUUGGACAUUUUAUUGUGUAUGAUGCACUGUUUAAUCGAUUCUGUCUGCUUAGGACUCUCCAUCAUAAAGGAAAGUGAUUCAGCUCCUUGACAUGAAAACACUCUGCUGUUCUCUGAAUUGUGUCUGACAUUAAAAACAGGGAUAUGCCCCUAAUUUGCCUAAAUAGCCUCAAUGAUGAUUAAGGUUAAGACUUGUAUUUUUAACUGAAACAUUUGUCACCCCUCCAAAGGAAGUGGAGAUAGUGCAAGUGGUAACGUCCAAGUAACCUCGUGUCCAGCCUCCUUGGUGCCCUACACCCUGUCCUUCUCUGCCCAAGUGUCGUCUCCCCGUCCUGUCUCCAAAAUAGAGUCCAACUGUUCCCUUGAUCCUCUACAGUACCUCAACUCAGAGCAAACCAAAGCCACGGUAGGUGGAAUAUUCAUGUGUCUGCUGAUGUUGUUGUCUUUACUGGUAACACUAUGUGUCAUUCAUGUUGGUUUGUGUGUCCUAUAAACUAUAGAUCAAGCUGGCUGCAGGGCACAAAUUUGACAGAGAUGUUGAACUUCUGAUUUAUUACAAAGAUGCCCACCAGCCCACUGCGGUGGUGGAGGCAGGCCAGGCUUCUGCUGAGCUUGGUGAGUAGAAAUUUGUGAAGUUCCUAUUUUGCAUUUACAAAUCUUAAUAGCCUAACUCUCUAGUCUAGCAGAUAAAUCACAUAAAUGAAUAGCAAAAGUAAGAUUGGAUGUCUUUGUGGCUCAGGCACUCUGAUGGGUGAUCCAGUAGUGAUGCUGAGUCUGUACCCAGAGUUCCCACAGGCUGUGAUGUCCUCAGUUGCCACAUGUGGAGAGUUUGUGUUCUUAUUGGAUCGCUCUGGCAGUAUGGGUGCAGCUAUGAACCACACCAAUAGAAAUGAGACUCGCAUUAGUAGUGCCAGGGUAUGAAUGUGUAUAUUCUUAUAUAAAACUAUCGGGAAUUUUCUUAUCAGACAGCAGCUUUCAUGAUUAUGUUUUUCCCUGAAGGAUACUCUUCUACUCCUGCUGAAGAGUUUACCAAUGGGCAGCUAUUUCAACAUUUACAGUUUUGGCUCCAGUUUUGAAUCCAUUUUCCCGUAAGUUACUUCUCAAAGGCUGUCCAAUAAAUUUGUCCCUGACUUUGUUGUUAUUUGAGGAUUUUUUGAUAUAAUCACAGUAAGAGUGUGGAGUACAACCAGGAGACAAUGGAAAAGGCUUUGAAGAAAGUUGAGGAGAUGCAGGCUAAUCUGGGAGGAACAGAGAUCCUUAAGCCACUUAAACACAUCUACAGCCAGCCCUGCAUUCCCAGUCAACCCAGACAAGUACCACACAUUCACACACAUUCACACAAAACAUGUGAAACAGGUCCAACAUCCCCUGCCAGUAACUAAAACAAUCUAUUCAGUCACCAGUAAAAGAAUCUGUCUGUUCUAUUUUUUAAAGUCACUAGUUAGUUUAACCUCACCACACCUUGUUUCAAACUUGGCACUAAUAACCACUUCACUGUUGUGACAUCUAAACAGCCUUCUGAAAACAACGGCUGCAUAUGAUUGUGGUUUAUUUGAAUAACAUGAAAAUUCUCUUCCCUAGCUAUUUGUAUUUACUGACGGAGAAGUGGGGAACACCAAAGGAGUUAUAGACCUGGUAAAGAAGAAUUCACAUGCCCACAGGUGAACUGCCAGAAACUUUGUAAACAACCAGAUUAUUUCACACAACAUAUACAUUGUUCUCCUGCUGCCUGGGGUAAAAGUUAAACAACUCUAUUUCAGAUGUUUCUCUUUUGGGAUUGGAGAAGGGGCCAGCUCCGCUCUCAUCAAUGGGUUGGCCAAGGAAGGAGGAGGUCAUGCUCAGUUCAUUUUAGGAAGUGACAGGAUGCAACCAAAAGUCAGUUCCACAUGAAAUACAAGCAAUCUGUCAUGUUCAACAAUACUUUGGUUUGUUGGAUGGGAGGGGUAAACCUUUUAAAAGUGAUUUAUCUUCACCAGGUGAUGCAGUCACUGAGGUAUGCUCUACACCCAGCUGUGGUGGACAUCUCAGUCACAUGGGAUUUACCAAAAGAUGUGUCCGCCACUGUCCUUUCUCCACCGAUCACAUCACUUUUCCAGGGUCAAAGGUCUCUGAUUUAUGCUGGACUCACUGGACAGGUAGGAAUUGUUACAUAUGAAGAGGAAGUUCUCUGUAUUUUAGUGUAAUAGUGUAAAGAUUUUGGUUUGAAACCAUUUAAACAUUGAUCUCCUUCUCUGCCUCUCAUAAGGGUCCUAAAUCUGUAAAUUCUGUCAGAUUUCAGAGGCAGCUGAAGGCUGUGUGACAGUAAAAUACAGCCUGGCAGGUCAUCCCUCUCAGAACCAGCUUCGCUUCAACCUGAAACCUACAGAGGAUUCUGGGUAAAAAAAUAAUUAUUUUCAAAACAGCCUUUAUACAGUAUAUGUCCUGACAUGACGAUAUGGAGUUUCAUUUCAAUAUUGAGAACAACACUGAAUGAAUGCUAAAACUUAUAUUUUUGAAAAAGGGAAAAUAUUUGGCACCAACAAGUUUCUUCUUAGUCGUUGACACAGAAAAUGAGCUAAGAUGUACACACUGUAACAUGAAAACACAGGAAAAACUAAACCAGACUUGAUCUCAGUUGUGUUCCAGUGCAACAUGACCUUAUGGCCAUUGUUCAAUCACUGAACAACUGAGGAACAGCAAGAUGUUUUAUGUAUCAUAUUGAAACAAAUCAUAUAUAUAGAUAAAGAUAUAGCUGUGUUUGGAGAUCUAACAGAGUGAAAGAAAAACAAAGAAAAACAUCACAAACUCUGAUAGCGCUGACUGAGCUUAAUAAAAUGAUUUUUAGAAGACUCCAGAGUUCAUUACUGGUAAUGUAAUCGUCAAUAUAUCCACAUCCUCUGCACAUCCUUUAACAUGUGAUAUCAAUAUUUUCAGACUAACAGUCCACAGGCUGGCUGCUCGGGCUCUGAUUCGCUGCCUGGAGAUGGAGGACAGAGAGCCCAGACAACAGCAGGAUGACAGUGUCAAGAAGAAGGUGGUAGAGCUCAGUGUGCAAUCAGGAGUGAGCAGUGCCUUUACUGCCUUUAUCGCAGUCAACAAAGGCAAUGGCAAAGCCAUACAGGGACCACUGGAGCGCAGGAAUGUUCCAGCACCCAGUGAGUAUUUCAUAGACACUUAAAUUAAAAAUAUGGCUGCUAACAUCAUAGAGAAGAGUAGAGCUCUAAGAUUUAGAAAAAGUAAGUAUUUAUAAUUCUACAAAUGAGUUUCAUAACUGCAGAUAGGAUUACACACUUUAGGAUUAAAUUAAAAAAUGCAAUCAGCUAGAAUUGACUUUGGCUGAUAUCUUCUCAAGUAAAGUUUCUCAUAAUUGCUAAACCUAACACUGUUUUGUCAUCUCAGUAUUAAUGUGCAGUGGACUGCGAUAUUGUGACUCCCUCUCCAUGCCCAUGUUACGCCAGAGUAAGUAAAAGAUCAAAUUCUUGUUGGCACAUCCUUAUGUUACAUCUUGACCUUCUAAGAUUGUCCUACUAAACUCUCAGGUAUUCCCAGUAACAGGAGCCUUCAAUUAUGCGCUAUAGAGUCCUGUGACAUCUCUUUUGACUGUAAGUAAUUAAAUGAUUUUUAAACCCCAUAUAUACUGUAUAUAUGUGUGUGUGUGGGUGUGUGUGUGUGUGUGUGUGUGUAUGUAUGUAUGUAUAUGUAUAUAUGUAUAUAUAUGUAUAUGUGUAACUAUAUAUGUGUAUAUGUAUAUAUAUAUUCAGACAAGUCAUUUUAAAUUGAUAAUAUUUUGGGGAUACUUCUUUUUCUUGAUCAGGAUGCACUUGCUGUUGGAUUUUUUAAAAUAACUUUGUGCCCUCAUUUUCCCUGUCUGGAUGGCAACCCUAUUAUGAUCUUAGUACCUCUGUUACAAAGAAGGAGUAUUAUAACAAAAUGCUUUUUGUGUGUGUAGUUUUUAUUAUGAUAUUGUUGGUUUUCUAUCUAACAUUGCCAUUUUUAUAUAUCUCAGGCUGUUUUUUUCUACUCUCUCAACAGCCAAAAAGAAAAAAACUAAAUCUUUCAAACCUGGGCUCUUUUCAUGGAAAGGAAAGAAACAGAAGGUUGUCCAAUCAGGUAAAAGAUCUCUGCAGACUGAUGCAGCAUAUCUGCACAACAGUGUCAAAGAGACAACAGUGGAAACAAUGAAUGCUUCAAAUGCAUAUCAAUUCCACAAAGACUGUUUUUUUUAUCUUUGCAUAAUAAUUUCCUUUGUCAGAUGUCCCUGAGACAUCUCCUCUGCCCACCAUGGACCCUUUGCUUCACUUGGUCUCCCUUCAGAAGGCAUCUGGCUGCUGGGACCUUAGUCCAGCUUUGGCUACAGCACUUGGAAAGACUAGUGAAGAGUUGAAAAAGCCAAAACCUGCAUCGGUCUGUUAUUUUUAAAACAACAUUUGUAAUGUUGUAAGGGACUGAGUGUGAAUAAGAUUUCAUAAUCUAUUGCCUGCAAGAUGUUCAUCUCUCUAAUUUUGCUAUUAAGGUGAAUAUGGAAAUAUGGGCCACUGUGCUGUCUCUGAUCUGGCUUCAUGGUUUCAAGAUGGACGUCAGGGAAGAGUGGGAGCUCCUGGCUAUGAAGGCUGUGUCAUGGCUCCGUGCCCAGAACUGUAAGAGCACUGAUAAACAUACAGAGCAUCUGGAAAGUAUUCAUAGUGCUACACUUUUUUCACAUUUACCUUUAAAUUUGACACACAAUUACCCAUAAUGACAAAGUGAAAAAGUUUGUCUGAAACUCUUGCAAAUUGAUUGAAAGUUACAACCGAAAUAAAACAUGUACGGUAGUAUUCACAGUGUUUUCUCAGUACUUGGUCGAUUUACUUUUGGCAGCAAUUUCAGCCUCAAGUCUUUUUGAGUAUGAUGCUACAAGCUGGGCACACCUAUUUUUGGGCAGGUUCUCCCAUCCUUUUUUGGCAGAACCUCUCCAGCUAUACCAAGUUGGAUGGAGAGCGUUAGUGUACAGCCAUUUUCGUUUCUCUCCAGAGAUGCUCAAUUGGGUUCAAGUCUGGGCUCUGGUUGGCCACUCAAGGACUUUCACAAAGUUGUCCUGAAGCCACUACUUUGUUAUCUCGGCUGUGUGCGUAGGGUCUUUGUCCUGUAGAAAGAUGAAUCUUCGCCCCAAUCCAAGGUCCAGAGUACUCUGGAACAUGUUAUCAUUAAGGAUGUCUCUGUACAUUGCUGCAUUCAUCUGUCCCUUGACCCUGACUGGUCUUCCAGUUCCUGCUACUAAAAAACAUCACCACAGCCUGAUGCUGCCACCACCAUGCUUCACUGUAGGGAUGGUAUUGGAAAGGUGAUGAGUGGUACGUGGUUUCCUCCAAACAUGACACUUGGAAAUUCAGGCCACAGAGUUCAGUCUUUGUGACACGUGAAAAUAAUUCUAAAUAAAACAGUAACACAAGAAAAUGUAAAAAAAAAAGAAAAAAAAAAGAAAAAGAAGUCUAGCUCUGUGAAUACUUUUCGGACGCAUUGUAGAUAAAAUGUCGUUGAGUGUGUGCACAGUUUAAAAUAAUCUUUUUGAUCACAUUCAAACCUCUGAUUGAUUUUUUUUGUUUUCAGCAUCAGAUCUAAAUGAGUGUGUGGAUGCUGGAAAUGCACUCUUGGGCUGCAACGUCACAAAAGACUCUCUGGGGUUCUGAGAUACUGACACAUGACUUCAAGAAUGGCACAGAAUGAAGCCAUCCUAUAAUUACAGAUCAGCCAAUCAUCCCAGUGGGGGUCAUCAUAAUACAUGAGUGAAAUGCACUGCAAAGUGUGGGGUGUUAACAUUGAAUGAAGUGUUGACUUUUUUUUUUUUCUUCAGUUUUUUGCAGUUUUUGCUAAUCAUAAUGUGUCAAGAAUUAGCUCGCUAAAUAUGUCAGUGUAAAGCAGCACUGUUGUUUUAUGUUUAUAUUGACAGAGACAAAACGUUGCUAAGCUAAUGAGGCCUUACUACAGAGAAGCCCAUAACUCGCAAAAAACUGCCAGAACGGUUAAAGCAGGUGACAGCGUGGUACUUGUAAGACAAGAAGCCACGCUGCCAAAUGUACUUCAAAAGUUUGAAUCAACCUAAAUUUACACAAAUCAGUCAAGAGAGUUUUGGUUUGCUUCUUCUGCUGAGUUUGUGCACAGAAAGUACUUUAGUGUUGAGCUGAAAUCUUAAAUACACGUGAGGAUAUUCCUGCUUGAACAGGCCCACAGUGCCCUCUCUUGGAUGGAGGUAUACAUCUUAGAAAACAGAGAGAAGCAUCAUAAUGCAAAGAUGGAAUAAUUAUGGACAUAUUUCAUGUACAAAAACCCUUCCAAAGGUUGACAUAAAAAUAAGAUGCAUAGAAAUUAAAUCAUAAUAAAUGCUGCAGUGCAACAUAUGCCUCAAAAUGAGCGAUUACAGCAAGAUAAAGUAUUUCAUCAGUUCAGCAUGUCUACAUUAAAUUAAUUUUAAUUGUGGUGUCUUGCUUUUUAUGUAUAAAUGAAGGAAAAUCAAGAUUCUUGUCUUUGUCUGAUUUUUGAAAUUUAUAAGAAAAGUGCUUGUUUGUGUCAUGCAUUGUAGUCGGCUAACCAUACAACUUACAAUAAAGUUUGUGGCAAAAAUGCAGCCUCUCACAUCUGACCUGUGUGGUUUGUCUCUUUUUGACUUUUGGACAAGUUUGUGAAUACAGUUUAACUGGAUCACUCAUUAAUGGUACCAUGCAGUGAAGACUCCCCUGGAGCGACAGUGCUGUUGUUAGCAGUGGUGGCUGAUCGACAGUGGAUGAUCAUGUUUUCCUGACUAGGCCUCCAUUGACUCUCAUUACAAAGUUGCACAGGUUCACUCCCUCCUCUGAUUAAUGUAAUGUGAGGUGGUUGGAUAAAGUUCUCUAAUGAUAAAGAACAGCAGGAUGGAGACUGAUAACUUUCUUUACAGCAGUGAAUGGAAUAAUUUCCCAUCAACAUCAAGUUAUUUACCUGAAAUUCUACAUUUUUCUCUUUCAUAAAUACUCCAGUUUUAACUGACAUCACUAUUAAAGGUUGCAAAAUAAUAUCCUUAGAGCUGAGCCACUCCUGAAAUGCAAGUCAAAAACCCUGGACAAUUUUACAGUGAAAGAAAAGAAGUUCCACAUUGUCAAUAUCCUUUUCACAAAAUCCACACGAGUUGUUUCCCAAAUAAAUUGCAAAAGAAUUGAGGGUGUUAAAUAAGUUCUAUGAGCAAAGUUGAAGUGUAUUAAUUGAUGAUUUAGGUUUCAGGAUAUCAUGUUAAUGUUUCUCCAAACUUUUUCUCAGUCAAUAUGUUGACAGCCUAAUUCAGUAUUUCGUGCUUCCAUGUAUAAAGGUGAUUUAGUUCUGUUCAAGAGAACUUGGUAUCUUGCAGAAAUUUGUCCUUUUGGGAGACCUAUGAAUUAAUUUGUAAAAUUGAUUAACAGAUGUAUUGGCAGUUGGAACCACAGAUCCCCAUAUGCUUUCAUUGCUGAUCUCAGUUGUAAUUAUGUACAGAAAAAAGAGAAAACCCUGUUACUUGAAACUCAUAUUUUAAAACAGAAAAAAGUCUUCAGGCCAUUUACAUCUAUGACAUCGCCUACUGUAUGUUAUCCAGAAUUUUUCCUCUGAGGAACGUAUUUCAUACUUACGCCAAAUUGAAACCGCAGUUGCAGUUAUUGGACCAUCACACACUCUUGACUGUUCAGCUGAAAUUUUCAUAAAUAGUAUGUCCUGUAAGGAAUUGGGUGCAACAGUAUCUUUCUCAAUUCUUACUCAGGGCAUGUUUGAAUCCAAGUCAAACCAAUUUGAUCAGGAGCAAAACGUCAAUGAUUGAAAAUAAAGUUUGAAGUUUGGAACAGCAAGUCCACCAGAUUGUUUUUCAUUCUGCAUUAUUUUGGGUUUCACACAAGCUUGUUUAUCUUUCUAUGAUACUUUUGUUAUGUUUCUAUGUAAUUUUUCCCAGUACCCACAGGGUGGAGCAAUAGGAAUCAUUUAGCAACAGAAAUGUAUUCUGGGCAAUAUGCUCAUUUUGAUGGUCAAUACUCCUCAAUACUUUUUUUCAAUAGAAGGGAAAAUAUCGAUACCUAAAUAUUUUAAAUAUCAAAAGGAUUUCUUUGGAGUUAUAACACAAGGAGGGAUUCCUCAGAAACAUGGAAGAUUAGGACCAGUUUAUUUUAUAAUUUAAGAUGGAAUCAAAUUUUGUAAAAAUAGUAAAAACAGAAUGAGAAGUAUCAUUCGGGUAUGCCAAGAUGACAUCAGCUUAAAGAGAGAUAUGAUGAUCAGUAGAGUUAAUGGUCAUAUGUUUGACCAUUUGAGAUUGACGGAGAUUCGUGCUAAUAGCUCCAUUGAUAGGAUAAACAACAAUGGUGAUAAUGGAUCACCUUGCCUGCUCCCUCGUGUGAUUUUGAAUGAUGGAGAACUAAUGUUUCCAGUAAUGACGCUGGCUGAUGGAUUUGCAAAUACAAUGGUAACCAAGUUUAUACAUCUUUCACCUAUGCCCAUAUAUUCUAAAAUGCACCAAAGGUAUCGCCACUUUGGGUGAUCGAAAGCCUUCUCAGCAUCAAUAGAAAUAACAGAUAAAGAGAGACUUGAGUUAGUGGAUGAAUAAACAAUACAGUUGUAGAUUGGAUAUUAAUUGAUUUGGGAUCUGUAAGAAACUCCAUGUCUCAUGAUUUUAAAGUGUCCAUACUUGCAGGAUAGUUACAAUUGCAUAAUUUAUUGGCCAAAAACUGACUCGGUCAAUUUCCAUGAAAACAGUAAUUGAGUCUAGCUGUAUGAAAAGCAAAUUCAGCUCUUUUUCUAAUGAAUGUAUUAAGCUCAGUCUUAAUCUUUACAAGUGUGGAGGACACAUCCUGGGAGUAAUUAUUUUGAUGAGAGAGUUCUAAGACAUGUUCUAAGAUGAUUUUCCAACUCAGAUAUCUUUUCCAACUGUAAUAUAUUAAGACCUGAAGCAAAAGAUGUUGGAUUCUUCCCAAUACAGCCUUUAGUUGCAUCUGAAAAUAUCCAAAAUCAUCCACAGAGUUUUUAAUUAAUUGCUAGGGAGUGAUUUAUUUAUUCUGGGUCAUCUACUAUAUAUAUAAAAGAGUUUUAAAGUCUGAUGGCUGCGGAUACCAAAGAACUUCUGAACCUUUCUGUCCGGCAAUGAAAAGAGAGGAGCCGUCCACCACCAUUGGCCUUUUGGUCCAUUAAGGUGUUUAUGAAGUGGGUAAUCCAUGUUCCUUAGAGCAACUUCACAUAAAAAAAUCUUAACAUCUCAAGAGAUGUAGUUACCUUUCUGCAGAAAAAUUCAACCUUUCCCCUCCAGGAGAGUUCAUGAUCAAUCUGGAUACCCCAAAAAAACAUGUUGAUGAUACCGAUUGUGACAAUGGGAAGUUUUUAUUGCUCACUAGAAUAUUUCUUAUUUCCUGCAAAUAAAAUUACUUUUUGUUUUUGAAUUUUAGAGAUAAUUUGUUUGACUGAAACCAAGUAUCAUAAUAGGAAAGGUCUUUAUUUGUUUCUCUAAUUAGAGUUGCAAAGUCUCUCUUGGAGGUAAAAAGGUUGGUAUCAUCUGCAAAGAGCAAAGGGACUGUAGUUUUUUAUAGUGAAACAAUAUUAUUAGUGUAAAUCAAAAACAAUAAUGGCUCUAAUACGGAUCCUUAAGGUACUCCAUACUUUCUCGUUGACACUUCACCAUUAAUAAAUGCAUAUUGUGUUCUAUUAUGAACAAAAUGUUUAAACCACUUAUGGACAUUACCCUGGAAACCUUUCAGCCAGAAGAAGCUGCCUAACCCCAGUGAAUUUGAAGCCUCUGAACUUCUUCACAUAGCACAUUUUCCUUUAAUCCCAGGAUGAAAAUAAGAACAUUGUAGGAGUUCUGAGAUCCCCAGGAACACAAUGAUGUGUUUUUCAUGUCUGUACUCUAAAAAUAUGAGGCCACAACAGCAAGUUAAACAGUGUUGACCCUGAGUGAUGAUCACAAUUUUCUUGCCCAAAAAUUCCAUUACGGUCAAUGGGCAGAAUCGCGGCCUGCUUAGACAGUUGGUCACUGACUGGCCAAGGGGUAUGACUUAAUGAUUUGAAACCUCUUUCGUGAGAAGCAGGACUUAUUUACCUCCAUUUAGAUGUAUUUUUUUAUGGCUGUGGAGUAAAAUUUGUGGGCAAGGAAGCUUAUAUUUGAGCUAGGUUUUGUCGAUCAAAAAAGGUCUCUCCACUCUUGCGAUGACAUCACCCACUGUAGCUGUCACAGCCACAUUAUAAGCCUGAAAUUUGCUGAAAACCAUGAGGUGCUCAGAGCUAAAUUGUGGAAAAACUGUAGAAGAUAGCACAAAAAAGUUAAUACAAGGAGAAGAUUGUGAACAUUUUAAAGCAAAAAUGAGGCCUGAGAUAUGAGAGAGAUAUGAGGCUGAGAAGGUGAAAGAGUAAAAGGUAGAAUUUGAAGAUUUCCCCAUUUAUUUAAUAGGAAAAAAUUUGCACAAAAAGUAAAAAAAUAUCCAAAAGUAUAAAAAGUAGGAAGGAGAAAAAUACAUCCGCACUUGUUCUGAAGGAGAGGAAUAGUUUAAGAGCUGAAUGGUUGAAACAGCACAAAGUGGGAAGGAGUUAGAAAGUGCCAAAAAGGUUCGCAAUAAUAAUAAUAAUAAUAAUAAUAAUAAUAAUAAUAAUAAUAAUAAUAAUAAUAAUAAUAAUAGAUAAAUAAAUAAAUAGGAGAAUAACAAGAAGUGGAAAUGCUUAAUCAGCAUUUCCACUUAAUAAUUACUGUCCCCACUUUAAUAUUUAUUACAUUACCUCUGACUGCAAGGCCAUGAGAUUAGCGUCUCCAUUUAGAACAGUUGAAUUAAAUCUGGCUUAUUCUGUGAGGAUUCAUCCACUCUAGUCCCCUGAGUUAUUUUCUUUUCAAAAGUUAUAGUAAAUUGAAAUGAUGAUGAUGAACCACGUCUCCGUCUUUCAGUUGUUGAACUCGUGCUGCCUUGUGUUUUGUAGAGGUUGAUGUAAUACACAUUCUGGGGUGACAGUCCCUAGGUGGCGUUGUCGCACCAGUUGUCACUUCUGGUUGCCUUCACUGAAACUCUCCUCACUGAUCUUUCCUCCUCCUGCGACACCAGCAAGAAAUGUUUUGCCAUUAUCAGAUUAAGUAAGUAAACUCCACACGGAUCAGUGCCACGGUGGAAUAGAGUUUUUGAUCCCUGACCUAUUUUCGUCAGAUCACUAUCGCCAGAUUAUGCAACGCUCCAGUGCCAGAGAACCGAGCGAACCAAAACUAUAAACCGUAUAUGGGGGGUAAAUCCCAUCUGAUUCUCGUCAGCUAAUAAAAAUAACAGCUCUAAUCCACCAGACAGCCCAUGGGCGUGUGCCGAAGUUGACAGAGCAUUUAUUGUCAGGACACUUCCGCAUAUGACGCAGUUUACCACUUCUGGGACGUCUCGUGGGUCGUGAACUUUUAAGACAGGUAGGUGUCUGAUACAUUUCCGCGAUACUGUGAUUUGGUUGAAUGUGUCAGUGGUAUAAGUUAUAACCAAUAUUAAUCACAGCUUUAAGAGGACAAUUGGUAGAGAUAACGGACACUCCUCCAUCAAUAAUCCUAAAUUUAGGAGAAAAAAAAUGCGAAAAAUACGCCCAAGAAAAAAAUGGAACCGCCCCCUCUUAUUUCCCAGAGAGCACGCAUCAUGGAAAUCAGAGAAAAACAGCUGAAAUUGUAAGAUAUAUAAUAGUGAUCAAUAUUAGGGUCGAAAUAAAGAAACUCGAUGGUUUACUUUACUCCAUACUUUCACUUCCUGUUUCCAGUCUUUUAUUCAUUUUGUUUAAUUCUGUUGGCUGUAGAUACAGGAAUUUAUGAAUGUGUGUGGUUUCUACAACAGAAAAUAGAGAAGUGUAUUAAUACAAAUAUAUAACCAUGAAUGCAAACAUUGGUUAAUCACUAUAGACCUACACACACACACACACACACACACACACACACACACACACACACACACACAUGCAUAUAUGUACAAUGUUUGCUUCACUGUGAUUUGUCAGCACAGCACCACUCCAGUCUAGCUUCUCACGUUCUCUUUUUGACAGCAGUUACUUCCUUGACUGUGUGUGAACCAGCAUCAUGGUGAACCAUUGUGGUCUGCUCUCUGCAAGAAAGGAACCAGGUAGAGAGCUUCAAAAUGCUUUUUAUUUAUUUAUUUAUUUUACCAAUACAGAAUCUUUAUUUCCUGUCUUUUAUUCAAACCUUAAAACUAACUUCGACUUUUGUUGCUUUAAACAGAUUUAAAUGAUUUUAACAACAACAACAAUAAAGAAUUAUGUAAAUUUGUUGUAUGUUUUGUUUUCUUUGUUGUUACUUUAUGAGUGUUUGCUGUUGAUGAUCGAUGAUCAUUAUGUUUCUCUUUGUUACUUUGUCAGUUCCCUUAAAGAGUGUGGAGGUGGAGGUGGAGGUGAGGGACCAUGUGGCUACUGUGGUCUCCACUCUCAAUUACGAGAACAAAGAGGACAAACCAUUAGAAGCAGUUUUUGUCUUCCCUCUGCCUGGAGAUGCUGCUGUCUGUCAUUUUAGCGCUACGCUUGGACAGACACAGAUCAUUGCAGAGGUCAAGGAGAAACAAGAGGUGAGCAACACAGUGAGGAUUGACUAUUUACUGUGAGACUAUCAGUAUAAUACUGUAAAAAUUAAGGUGACUCAUGUAAUCUGUACUCUAGGCACGUGAGGACUAUGAUGAUGCUUUAAGCUCUGGUUUGGAAGCCUUUCUGUUGGAGGAGAGUGAGCAAAGUCCGGAUAUAUUCUCCCUGAGUGUAGGCAGUCUUCAACCCGGAGAGAGUGCCUCAAUCAGGCUGGAAUAUGUCACUGAGCUGAAUGUGCAGGCUGAUUCUGGACUGAGGUUUUGUCUGCCUGCUGUGCUUAACCCUCGCUACCAACCUAAGGGUAGGUAAAACGAGCAAAAACACGUGUCAGUAACUUUGAAACUGCAUCUAUAUUGGUGGAUUGGCAUUGCACCUUUUUAUUAGUGCUUGUAAAAGUCAAAUCUUUAAAACUUGAAACUCAGCAAACUAAGAGACAAAGUGGUUGACCACUUUGAGCAGCCCCAUUAAUGACAGCCUUAUUAGGCCAUGAGCCAGGGGGGUUGGUCGGUAUCAACUGAGGGGAAUAAUGCUCAUAGUGAUUUUUGACAUUGUAUACAUGUAUAGAGUUAGAAAAUAUGUGAUAGCAUUGCAGCAGUGGUAGCUAAAUGUGUGCUAUCAUGCAUUUUAUUUUAUAACACUUGGCGAAAAUUACAUGGGUCAAUAUAUAAAAACAUGCAACUUAACCCCCCAAAAAACCUAUAGAAAGGGUUUCUUUUCACCAUACAUCAUUUCUAUAAGGUGUCUAGACUAACAUAAUAUAAGUCCUAUGAAAUCCUUGUUUGAAAAGUAUGUUAAUUUUGCCAGACAACAAUACGCAAAUGAGCUCAAAACUCAUUAAAAUUUGCCCAAAAUACUCCUUUUCCCCUGAACUAUUAUCACAGGGAAACUAUUAUCACAGUGAAAGCACAUUGAAAGAGGGUGAUGGCAAUGCUGCUUUUGGACCGGCCUCUAACCUGAAAACUUGGUUGUACCUACCAGGGGUAUAACCCCGGCCGGCGUAGUCUUCAGGGUCACUGAGGCACACAAGCCUCCCCACCACGACAAGGUAGUAACAAUAGGGGAGGGUGUUUUUUUUGUGUUUUUUUUUUGUGUUUUUGUAUGUUUAUUUUUGCCCGGAUCCUCACCACCUUCUCUACAUGUCAGUUCCUGGCUUGUUCUUUGCUUUGUUCUGGGACAGAGUUAAACCAAGAAAGGUGGUUUUUGUGUAUAUCCCUACGUUUGCCAUUCAGGAAUAGUGUAGGCCUGAAUCUCUCCAAUUCUCAAUUAUACAGAUCAUACUUUUGACCUCUAUACGUUUACAACCUAAUAAUCAAAAUCAUUUUCAUCACUAUCUUUCACGUCAGAUGGAUGGAAAGGCCAAGGACUCUCAGUCAUCUCCUGUUUUAUGACUGAUCUAAUAUGAGAUGAAGUCUGAUCUAUGAUCUUGUUCAAAUUGGUUGACUUGGCCCUCCAAACUUUGAGUUCCCUCUGCAGUGUUUGAUUUUUCAAGACAACAUCCCUUAAUGAUACACUUUGUGGUACGAUCAACAAUUUUCCUUUCUCAUGUGGGAAUAUAUGUACUAUAUUGCCCAGCUCAGAUUCAAGAUUCCUGCAAAUAUUCUUCCUUGUAUAAUCUCGCAAGCAUGUAAUUCCUCUAGACAGCAUUAAUUGUUCAAGUUUCAAGACCAAAGAACUUGCUUGUACAAUGGUCUUAUUGGGUAUGAUAUCAGCUCUGAUAUAUUUGAAAAGAUCAAUAUAGGCUUCCCUUUCAAUGUUUUUAUACAGUUCACCACGAUCUGUUUCCUCAUUUUUCUUUUUGCACACAGGUUCCUUUUUCUUGAUUCGUGUAUAAUCUUUAUAGCAUGACACAUGAUAGUGGGCCUCUGCAGCAACUAUGUCUCUGCUUGUUACUGCUAGAAUAUUUUCAUCCCCUUUUUGAGUUGCACACUCUCUUGAAGUUUGGUCAGCUCUGAGUUGUACAGCUUGUGUAAGCUUUUCACGCAACUUGGAGCCCUUUAAAAACUUCUCAUUCUCAUACAAAAGAUGCAGAUAUGAUCAUACACCCUUGAUGCUGAUGAAGAUCUCCUUCUAGGCCUUUUUGAUACACAGCCGUACUCAACAUCUUCAUCACCAGUAAUGCUUUCCUUGGCUUUCUUUUUCAAUGACUCCAAUUCCCUCUUCAUGGUGAAGAGGCUUUGGCAUUUUCUGUGAUAAUAAAUUGUAGGCACAUCCUUUUCUCUAAUAUUUUUUAGCAAUGUCUAAAAUAGGGGCAUGGUUUCUCACUUUGGCUGCUUCAAGUAAUGUUUCCCAGGAUUUAUAGUCUUGGGGACUAACUAAAUGUUCACCAUCAUCCUUGGACAUUUUAUUGUGUAUGAUGCACUGUUUAAUCGAUUCUGUCUGCUUAGGACUCUCCAUCAUAAAGGAAAGUGAUUCAGCUCCUUGACAUGAAAACACUCUGCUGUUCUCUGAAUUGUGUCUGACAUUAAAAACAGGGAUAUGCCCCUAAUUUGCCUAAAUAGCCUCAAUGAUGAUUAAGGUUAAGACUUGUAUUUUUAACUGAAACAUUUGUCACCCCUCCAAAGGAAGUGGAGAUAGUGCAAGUGGUAACGUCCAAGUAACCUCGUGUCCAGCCUCCUUGGUGCCCUACACCCUGUCCUUCUCUGCCCAAGUGUCGUCUCCUCGUCCUGUCUCCAAAAUAGAGUCCAACUGUUCCCUUGAUCCUCUACAGUACCUCAACUCAGAGCAAACCAAAGCCAUGGUAGGUGGAAUAUUCAUGUGUCUGCUGAUGUUGUUGUCUGCACUGGUAACACUAUGUGUCAUUCAUGUUGUUGUUUGUGUGUCCUGUAAACUAUAGAUCAAGCUGGCUGCAGGGCACAAAUUUGACAGAGAUGUUGAACUUCUGAUUUAUUACAAAGAUGCCCACCAGCCCACUGCGGUGGUGGAGGCAGGCCAGGCUUCUGCUGAGCUUGGUGAGUAGAAAUUUGUGAAGUUCCUAUUUUGCAUUUACAAAUCUUAAUAGCCUAACUCUCUAGUCUAGCAGAUAAAUCACAUAAAUAAAUAGCAAAAGUAAGAUUGGAUGUCUUUGUGGCUCAGGCACUCUGAUGGGUGAUCCAGUAGUGAUGCUGAGUCUGUACCCAGAGUUCCCACAGGCUGUGAUGUCCUCAGUUGCCACAUGUGGAGAGUUUGUGUUCUUAUUGGAUCGCUCUGGUAGUAUGGGUGCAGCUAUGAACCACACCAAUAGAAAUGAGACUCGCAUUAGUAGUGCCAGGGUAUGAAUGUGUAUAUUCUUAUAUAAAACUAUCAGGAAUUUUCUUAUCAGACAGCAGCUUUCAUGAUUAUGUUUUUCCCUGAAGGAUACUCUUCUACUCCUGCUGAAGAGUUUACCAAUGGGCAGCUAUUUCAACAUUUACAGUUUUGGCUCCAGUUUUGAAUCCAUCUUCCCGUAAGUUACUUCUCAAAGGCUGUCCAAUAAAUUUGUCCCUGACUUUGUUGUUAAUUUGAGGACUUUUUUUGAUGUAAUCACAGUAAGAGUGUGGAGUACAACCAGGAGACAAUGGAAAAGGCUUUGAAGAAAGUUGAGGAGAUGCAGGCUAAUCUGGGAGGAACAGAGAUCCUUAAGCCACUUAAACACAUCUACAGCCAGCCCUGCAUUCCCAGUCAACCCAGACAAGUACCACACAUUCACACACAUUCACACAAAACAUGUGAAACAGGUCCAACAUCCCCUGCCAGUAACUAAAGAAAUCAAUUCAGUCACCAGUAAAAGAAUCUUUCUGUUCUGGUUUUACAGUCACCAGUUAGUUUAUUCUCACCACACCUUGUUUCAAACUUGGCACUAAUAACCACUUCAAUGUUGUGGCAUCUAAACAGCCUUCUGAAAACAACGGCUGCAUAUGAUUGUGAUAUAUUUGAAUAACAUGAAAAUUCUCUUCCCUAGCUAUUUGUAUUUACUGACGGAGAAGUGUGGAACACCAAAGAAAUUAUAGACCUGGUAAAGAAGAAUUCACAUGCCCACAGGUGAACUGCCAGAAACUUUGUAAACAACCAGAUUAUUUCACACAACAUAUACAUUGUUCUCCUGCUGCCUGGGGUAAAAGUUAAACAACUCUAUUUCAGAUGUUUCUCUUUUGGGAUUGGAGAAGGGGCCAGCUCCGCUCUCAUCAAUGGGUUGGCCAAGGAAGGAGGAGGUCAUGCUCAGUUCAUUUUAGGAAGUGACAGGAUGCAACCAAAAGUCAGUUCCACAUGAAAUACAAGCAAUCUGUCAUGUUCAACAAUACUUUGGUUUGUUGGAUGGGAGGGGUAAACCUUUUAAAAGUGAUUUAUCUUCACCAGGUGAUGCAGUCACUGAGGUAUGCUCUACACCCAGCUGUGGUGGACAUCUCAGUCACAUGGGAUUUACCAAAAGAUGUGUCCGCCACUGUCCUUUCUCCACCGAUCACAUCACUUUUCCAGGGUCAAAGGUCUCUGAUUUAUGCUGGACUCACUGGACAGGUAGGAAUUGUUACAUAUGAAGAGGAAGUUCUCUGUAUUUUAGUGUAAUAGUGUAAAGAUUUUGGUUUAAAACCAUUUAAACAUUGAUCUCCUUCUCUGCCUCUCAUAAGGGUCCUAAAUCUGUAAAUUCUGUCAGAUUUCAGAGGCAGCUGAAGGCUGUGUGACAGUAAAAUACAGCCUGGCAGGUCAUCCCUCUCAGAACCAGCUUCGCUUCAACCUGAAACCUACAGAGGAUUCUGGGUAAAAAAAUAAUUCAAAACAGCCUUAUGGAGUUUCAUUUCAAUAUUGAGAACAACACUGAAUGAAUGCUAAAACUUAUAUUUUUGAAAAAGGGAAAAUAUUUGGCACCAACAAGUUUCUUCUUAGUCGUUGACACAGAAAAUGAGCUAAGAUGUACACACUGUAACAUGAAAACACAGAAAAACUAAAACAGACUUGAUCUCAGUUGUGUUCCAGUGCAACACGACAUUUGGGCCAUUGUUCAAUCACUGAACAACUGAGGAACAGCAAGAUGUUUUAUGUAUCAUAUUGAGACAAAUCACAUAUAUAGAUAAAGAUAUAGCUGUGUUUGGAGAUCUAACAGAGUGAAAGAAAAACAAAGAAAAACAUCACAAACUCUGAUAGCGCUGAUUUUAGAAGACUGCAGAGUUCAUUACUGUCAAUGUAAUCGUUAAUAUAUCCACAUCCUCUGCACAUCCUUUAACAUGUGAUAUCAAUAUUUUCAGACUAACAGUCCACAGGCUGGCUGCUCGGGCUCUGAUUCGCUGCCUGGAGAUGGAGGACAGAGAGCCCAGACAACAGCAGGAUGACAGUGUCAAGAAGAAGGUGGUAGAGCUCAGUGUGCAAUCAGGAGUGAGCAGUGCCUUUACUGCCUUUAUCGCAGUCAACAAAGGCAAUGGCAAAGCCAUACAGGGACCACUGGAGCGCAGGAAUGUUCCAGCACCCAGUGAGUAUUUCAUAGACACUUAAAUUAAAAAUAUGGCUGCUAACAUCAUAGAGAAGAGUAGAGCUCUAAGAUUUAGAAAAAGUAACUAUUUAUAAUUCUACAAAUGAGUUUCAUAACUGCAGAUAGGAUUACACACUUAAAUUAAAAAUUUCGAUCAGCUAGAAUUGACUUUGGCUGAUAUUUUCUCAAGUAAAGUUUCUCAUAAUUGCUAAACCUAAUACUGUUUUGUCAUCUCAGUAUUAAAGUGCAGUGGAUGGCAAUCUUAUGACUCCUUCUCCAUGCCCAUGUUGUGCCAGAGUAAGUAAAAGAUCAAAUUCUUGUUGGCACAUCCUUAUGUUACAUCUUGACCUUCUAAGAUUGUCCUUCUAAACUCUCAGAUAGUCCCUGUAACCUCAGGAGCCUUAAAUCAUGCGCUAUAGAUUUCUGUGACAACUCUCUUGACUGUAAGUAAUUUAAUGAUUAUUAAACCCCAUACAUAUAUAUACAUAUAUAUAUAUAUAUAUAUAUAUAUAUGUAUAUAUAAAUAUGUAUAUGCAUAUAUGUGUGUGUGUGUAUAUGUAUGUAUAUGUAUAUGUAUAUAUGUAUAUAUAUGUAUAUGUGUAACUAUAUAUGUGUAUAUGUAUAUAUAUGUACAGUACAGGCCAAAAGUUUGGACACACCUUCUCAUUCAAUGCAUUUUCUUUGUUUUCAUUACUAUUUAAAUUGUAGAUUUUCAAAACUAUGAAUGAACACAUGUGGAAUCAUGUGCUUAAGAAAAAAGUGUGAAAUAACUGAAAACAUGUUUUAUAUUUUAGAUUUCUCAAAGUAGCCACUCUUUGCUUUUUUGAUAGCGCUGCAAACUUUUGCUGUUCUCUCAAUGAGCUUCAUCAGGUAGUCACCUGAAAUGGUUUUUACUUCACAGGAGUGCCUGAAGUAACCCUUACAAGGUACUUCUGUCAUCAAGAGCAAAGAGUGGCUAUUUUAAAGAAACUAGAAUAUAAAACAUGUUUUCAGUUAUUUCACACUUUUUUUAUAAGUACAAAAUUCUACAUGUGUUCAUUCAUAGUUUUAAUGCCUUCAGUGAUAAUCUACAAUGUAAAUAGUCAUAUAAAAAAAUAAAGAAAAGACAUUGAAUGAGAAGGUGUGUCCAAACUUUUGGCCUGUACUGUAUAUGUGUAUAUAUAUGUAUAUAUAUGUAAUUAUGUAAUUAUAUAUAUCUAUAUAUAUCUAUAUCUAUAUAUAUAUUUAUAUAUAUAUAUAUAUAUAUAUAUAUGCUCAAUUGAAUGUUUGUUUUGUGAAUUUUAUGAAUUUUGUGACGCCUUGUCCAGUCCCAUAUUAUGUCAAGGUAAGUAAGAGAUAAAAUUCUUUUUGGUGUAUCCUUAUGUUGCAUCUUGACCUUCUAAGAUUGUCUUUCUUAAGUCUCAGGUAUUCCUAGUAACAUGGAUACAUUAAGUAUACAGUCCUAUGAAAGAUCAUCAAGCAGUAAGUGUAAGUAAAAAUUGUAUGAUUUUGAAACCCCAAACUUUUUAUUAUGUAUGUAUGCAUAUAUAUAUAUAUAUAUAUAUAUAUAUAUAUAUAUAUAUAUAUAUAUAUAUAUAUUCCUUAUGCAACGCUGUGGCUAAAAAAAGCCACUUGGGACAAAAUUUAGCCACUAAUUUAUAUGUAACUUUUUUUUACUGCAGCAAAUGGGAUGAUUUUUUGUGCAGAUGCCUAUAUUGAUGGACACUUUGAAAAUAUGACUUCAAAAAUACACGCUCGGCAAAUUUUCAUCCUUUGUUAACGUUCAGUGGCCUUAAAAAAGCCACUAACUUUGACUGCUGUAAAAACAUCUUGGGUUAAUAUUUUUUUCCAUUUUUUUUCACAUAUCUCUUAAUUAACUUCUGCUUUGAUCAAAACUAGUAAAUGUUUCAUCUAAAAACAUUUUUUUUAACCCUUUGAGGGUCCAUUCAAAGCAUAAUGUCACUGAUAUGGUAGAAAAAUACACAAAAAUGACCUAUUUUCAUCAUAAAACAAUCAGAAACAGGUGAUUUUUUACAUGUUGCAUAGUCUUGGCCUUGUGAAGGAUUAGGAACCUCAGAAACUAUGAUGCAUUUUUGUGUAAUGUCUGAUUUUCAUAGAAAAUUUCAUAAAACACUCAUAAAAACACUUGCACUAUUCAUGUACACUGUGUGCACAAUUAUUAGACAAGUUGUAUUUUUGAGGAUAAAUUUUAUUUUUGAACAACUGCAGUGCUCUCGGUCAAUCCAAAAUGUUAAUAAACCUCAAACCUUAAUAUUUAAGGGAGUAAAAGUGAGAUUUUGGCUUCCUUAGGAGAAUUUCUAUGUGUGCACAAUUAUUAGGGGCAGCUAUUAGUGUGCAGAAUUAUUAUGCAACUAAAUUAAAAAUAAAAAAAAUUCCAUUUCACUUGUUUAUUUUCACUUGUUAAAGUGAGAAUGAUAAACAAACAACUCAAUUUACAAAUAAAAGCUGUUGAAAUUAAAAAAAAAAAACAGUGACCAAUGUAACUACCCUUCUUUUCAUUAACAGUCAUAAGCCUUCCAUUCAUGGAAUCUUUCAGUUUCUUGAUCUGUUGACGAUCAACUUUUUGUGUUGCAGUAACCAAAGCCUUCCAGACACUGUUCAGAGAGGUGUACUUUCUUCCUUCACUGUAAAUUUCCCUUUUAAGAAGGGCUCACAAGUUCUCAACAGGGUUUAGGUCAGGUGAAGAAGGAGGCCGCGUCAUUAUUCUUUCAUUUUUAAAGCCUUUACUGGCGAGCCACAUUGUGGAGUACUUUGUUGCAUGCAAUGGAGCAUUGUCCUGCAUAAAAAUCAUGGUUUUCUUGAAAGAUGCAGACUUUUGCCUGUACCACUGCUUGAAGAAAGUGUCUUCUAAAAACUGGCAGUGGAUUUGGGAGUUGAUUUUAAGUCCAUCUUUAACUCGAAAAGGUCCAGCUAGCCCAUCUUUAAUAAUACCAGCCCAUACCAGUACCCAGCCUCCACCUUGCUGGUGUCUGAUUCGAAGUGGAGCUCUGUGCCCAUUACUGAUCCAGCCACGGGUCCAUCCAUCCGGUCCGUCAAGAGUCACUCUCAUCCCAUCAGUCCAUAAAACCUUUGAAAAAUCUCUCUUCAGAUAUUUCUUGGCCAAGUCUUGACGUUUCAACUUGUGUCUUGUUCAGUGGUGGUCGGGUUUCAGCCUUCCUUACCUUGGCCAUGUCUCUGAGCACUGAUCAUCUUGUACCUCUGGGCAUUCCAGGUAGGUUGCAGUUCUGGAAUAUGACAGCACCGGAGGAUAAGCGGUUCCUGGUAGCUUCAUGUUUGAGUCUUCUCAAAUCUUUGGCAGUUAAUUCGCGUCUUUUUUUCUUAACACAUUUCUUGCGACCCUGUUGACGAUUUGCAUCAAAAUGUUUGCUGGUUCUGUGAUCACGCCCAAAUAUCUAAGCAAUUUCAAGAGUGCUGCAUCCCUCUGAAAGACUUUUUACAAUUUUUGACUUUUCAGAGUCAUUUAAAUCUCUUUUUUGGCCCAUUUUCCCUGAGGAAAAGAAGCUGCCUAAUAAUUAUGCACACCUUGAUAUAGGGUUUUGAUCUCCUUAGGCCCCAGCCUCCCUCAUUACACUAAUACACAUUACCUGAUAUGCUUAUAUCCAAUAAGCAUUCAAGUUUAUACAGCUUGGAGUUGGAAAAUAUGCAUAAAAAUGAUGAUAUGAUUAAAAUAUUCACUUGCCUAAUAAUUGUGCAUACAGUGUAUUUUCUAUACUCGUAUACUCGCAUUCUCUUUCGUUACCAGCUUGGUAGUAAUGUGCUGAGCCAGAACUCAGGUCUGUGUGUGUGUGUGUGUGUGUGUGUGUGUGUGUGUGUGUGUGUGUGUGUGUGUGUGUUCAGCGUUUGAAGCAAGACCUGCAAGAGAUCACUCUGUGUUCAUGCCAGAUGUGUUUCACACAUAACUCACAGGUUUUGUUAGUUCUUUUUGACACCAAAGCCGUUCCCAGGUCCUCCAGGAAAAGCCUCCUCCUGAAUCAGUUUUUCUGGUUCCAGGAGAGAUCCACAUCCCACAGCGAGGCAGUAGAUUCACCCCUCGAACAAAACAGGCCAGACAAUGAUGAUGGAUCCUGUGGGGGGUCAGAUUCCAUCCCAUCAGAAUCAAUGACCAUUGCAAGGGCCUCCGUGGUGCUGAAGCUUCUCUUCGUGCUUUCUCUUGCUCUUCUCAUGAGAAAAUGGUCAUUAGAAUCUGCAAGUUGUGGAUUGCAGGGGUGGAGCCAGGGUUGGGGCCCCCGAAGAUCAAAAGGCCAGAUAGCAGGUUUAUAAACACCUCCAGACAUAACAGCUCACUUUUGUUUUUGUUUAUUUUUUUCCACCUCUCUGUACUUCUGAGAGCUGAAGAACAUAGUUUACUUUUGUGGCCAGGUCAGUGCUGGGUCAUGACCUGCAGGCUCCUCCCCUCUCUCUCUCACAUGCACACACUCACAUGCACGCAUGCACACACGCACGCACGCAAACACCCAUUUUUUGGGGCUUCCGAUUUUGUCUGGCCUGUUUGGAAACACAUCUGGCAUGAACACAGAGAGAUCUCCUGCCGGUCUUGCUUCAAACAUUGAAAACACACACACACACACACACACACACACACACACACACACACACACACACACACACACACACACACACACACACACACACACACACACACACACACACACACACACACACAUUUACAUUUUUUCUCUCUUUACUCACUCAAUUUCUCACACAUUCACUCGCUUAGGCUUCCCAGGUUUCUUUCAAUCCUCUCCCCCGCUUCACCCCCAAAAGUUAGUUGUUUGUUCUGGUUUGAUACUCUGUUGUUGUAUAUUUGUGGCUUUUGUUUUAUUGCAUUUUGAGCGAUAAAGUAUGGUUUGGUUCUAAUGUUACAUUGGUUAAAUUUUUUCAUUACUUCCACCUGCUGGUAUGCAAAAAAAAAAUGCGAGUAUAUAAAAGACAUGAGUAGUGUAAGUGUAAUUUUUUUUUAUGACAACCAGAUGUUACACAAAAAUGUAUCAAGGUUUCUGAGGUUCCUAAUCCUUAACAAGGCCAAGAUUAUGCAACACAUUAAAAAUGGGCUAUUUCUGAUUAUGAAAAUAGGUCAUUUUUGUGCAUCUUUGUACCAUAUCAGUGGCGUUAUGUUUUGAAUGGACUCUCAAAGGGUUAAAAAAAUGUUUUGAGAUGAAAAAUGUACUAUAGUGGGGUGCCUGGACACUCAGUCAUUUCAAAUUCGUGUAAAAGUUUAUUUUUCACUUCCAGUUUGUAUAUUAUGGUCUAUAGAACAAUUUUGGUUCGAGUGUCAAGAAACCAGAUUGAAGAAAGAUAUGUUUUUUGCCCUAUUUCCAAAAUGGCCAAAAUCGGAAUUAUGUUUUUUGAAUAAUGUCUUGGUUUUCCCACAAUUGCUCUGUAAUUUUUGUUUUUGUGCUAGAUUAUGUCAAUACUGUGUGAGGAAUCAAUUGGAAUUCAAAUAUUUAUGUUUUAAAUAUUUUUGGUAUUAUAUAUUUCACUCAAAUGAGACAAAACAGUAAAUAGUGAGCUAAAACAUUUAUUACACAAUAAUACAAACUGUACUUAUGUUUUAACUGUACCACAACAUGGUGCCAUUAGCUUUAACAACUGGUCAUACAUUAUUUUACAAAAGAAAAAGAAACCUAUUAUAUACACAAUCUUGGAAAUAUGCUCCGGUGAAGCUAUUUUUCACAUUUACUCUUGCAAAGACGGGUGCACUUAAGUUUUGCUUUCACACAACUACACCGAGUGCAGGUUGGAACACAAGGGCUUUUGCAAUUGCACUUCACAUCCAACUUUAAUAUGUCCUUGGCGAGGGGUAGAGUGGUCCAAAUGGGAAGCAGUUUCCCGUCCUCCUCCUUCCAGCCAUGAUCAGUGGGGCUGUGGAUGGGCAUCAUGGACCUGAAUGAAAGAAAGAAUGAAUUAAUAAUUUGAUUGAUUGAUGGAUUGAUUGAUAAUCAAUCAAUUCUUUCAUUAGUUAGUUAAUUAGUCAAAUUGACAUGGUACACAAAUUCAUGGAGAAACAUAUACAUACAUAUGGGCUGUCGUCCAGAUGCUUGCUUGGAAGACGCUCCUUUUCAGAUGUUGAUCCAAAGCAUCACUAGUUGGGGGAAUUCUCUCCAUGUCCCUUGUUUUCUUUGAGAAUUGCAUCAUUCGCACACGAUCAACAUCAUUGCCCUCGUGUGUGUCAUCAGUGUACAGCCUACAGACAAAGUUUGUCCCCGCUUCUUUCAGCCUUGGAGAUGCUUUAUAUGGAGUGUCAACAAGAGUUGAAAAUUCCUCCAUGAGGGAUGGCACUUUGGGCAUCACCUUGCAGCAGGAUCACUUACCCUUGAAUUUGAAUGCCGAUGUGCUGUCUGAGCCAGUGAAUGCAUGGAAGAGAGCCAUGCCCUUGCAUGUAGUCAUGCCCAGGUUUGUAGCGAUGGUAUUCAGUGAAAUCAUUCUAGUUGUCUUUCCAGCUUUGAAGGAGAUCCAGACUUCCGCUGCUGCAUUCAGCACUACAACAACAUCUGUGUCUCCAGUAUGCACCAUCCCAAGUGAAGAUGUUUGGAGGGCGUGGAGAAGAUGUAUUAGGACACGAGUGUCAGCUUCCUCAUGGUUGCAUUGAUCCAUUGGUGGGCCAUCUCCAAUGUGGUGGACUUGAUCACCCGCAGUAAUGUAGACAUCCAUGUCAUCUGGAAACUGUGCAUCUGUUAACAACUUAUUUGACAGGAAUGAGAACAGCUCCUUCUUGUUGUCAAUGUUUGCCAGAAACUUUUGCCAAUUCGCCGGGAUUUUGGCAGUACCAGAUACACGUUGUCGGGUGCCUGUUCCUUGUUUUUCCCUUGUGCCUCCUUUGAUUGUUAGAUCACGAUACUGGUCCCAGACUAUGUCAACUCUCGCUGAUCGUUUCAAGUCAUGGUGAACUCUUGGGCAGAAUACCUUGUCGAAAUAGGAAUCAAAGUUCUUCCCAACGACAGUUGUACCAGGAAGUGAAUGUAUCAGUACUCCACCAUCAAUAACAAUGAAGUCGUAAACACUUGGUGCAACUAACUCCUCCUCAACAGAAAUCUCGGUACUCGAACUGGCUUCCAUAAUAUAUACCAACAAAUCUGACUUGGUACAAGAGUUGAGGGCUCCCUCAAAUGACAAUGCAGGUGGAUUCAUAGAGGAAAAAACCCUCCAAAUCUCCCCCACGGCUGUCCAGCACAAUAAAAGCUUUCCCAUAGAGCUCUGCAUGAUGUUUAAAGUGCUGCAUUUUCAGCUUAAUCGCUGUCUUCCUCGGUGCUUUCUUCUCAUGGAACAACAAUAAGUUGUUUCGCUUGAUCGAUGCUGUCAGAAGUGUGUCAUGUGAUUCAAGAACACUUUUCCUGUACUUGUUGUACUGCUCUUGUCCUGUAGACUCAAGUUGAUGGACAGAUACGGCAGCAGCCGCAGACUCACACAUCUUGUUGUCUAAUGUAACCAGGUCAUUACUGCCCUCCUCAAAUGGAUUUCCAAUGCUCAGCAAAUCCUCCAUCAGGUCUUUGACAUGGCGUUGAAAUCGAUGUUGAGAUGCAGGGCCUUCCUCAUGAUGAGGAAGUUCUUCCCUAUCAUCAUUGUAGUUUGUAGUGGUAAACUCCUCCAUGACACGGCUGAUUUCUGGGCCAGUCACGAUCCAGCGUUCCAACAUGCCAGGGUUUUCUGUCAGACCAAUUACACCACCAACCCCUUUCACCCUUUUGUUGGCUUGCUCGUGUGCCUGAUCGAUUGGUAUGGAUGAGAAACGGCGAUUGCUUAGAGUUAUUGUCCAGUGUCCAUCCUCAAACUCUGCCUUGAUGCUAUCUGGGAGACGUUCCAUGUCUCUGAUUAAGACUGGAAGCCACCCCGGGUAAUUCUGGUGAUCAAGAGCAAAGAACAAAGGCACAAGCAUCCGUAGAGUAGUGACCAUGAAGUUGAACUUUCAUUCACGAUGUGCCCGGAUAAACCUGAAGAUCAGGCAAAAAACAUAUCUUUCUUCAAUCUGGUUUCUUGACACUUAAACCAAAAUUGUUUUAUAGACCAUAAUCUACAAAUUGGAAGUGAAAAAUAAACUUUUACACGAAUUUGAAAUGAAAAAUUAAAAUUACAUAUACACAGAACCCCACUACUACUUUCGAUCAGGGCAGAGUUAAUUGAGAGAUGUGUGAAAAAAAAUCUGGAAAAAAUAUGAAUCUAAUAUGUUUUGACAGCAGUCAAUGUCAGUGGCUUUUUUAGCCACUGAGCGUUAAGAGGGGAUGUCUUUUGGAAAUCUGAUCCUACAAAAAAAAACUUAAAAGGCAUCAAAGUCAAUGAUAUUACUUAUCCUUUACAUAUUCAAGACUAUAAUACCCUGCAAGAGAUAUCCAGUUUCAGAUUAUGUUUUCUAAUAAAAAUCAGUCAUUUUCCUCCCAUUUUUUCCCAAUAUUAGUGACUUUAUGUUUUAAAUUGUCCUUUAAAGGGUUAAAAUUUUGAUUUUUAAUGACACAUUUACUAGUUUUGAAUAGAGCAGAAGUAAAUUAAGAGAUGUGUGAAAAAAAAUCUGGAAAAAAUAUGAAUGUCAGUGGCUUUUUUAGCCACUGAGCGUUAAAAAAGUAAGUUAAUCUAAUGGUUACACAAGGAAUAUAUAUAUAUAUAUAUAUAUAUAUAUAUAUAUAUAUAUAUAUAUAUAUAUAUAUAUAUAUAUGUAUAUAUGAAUAUGUAUAUAUAUAUAUUUAUAUGUAUAUAUAUGUGUUUAUAUGUAUAUAUGUGUAUAUAUAUGUAUAUAUAAAUAUAUGUGUAUAUAUAUAUAUAUACACGAAUAUGUAUAUAUAUAUAAAUAUAUACACAUACAUACAUAUAUACAUAUACAUAUAUAUAUAUAUAUAUAUAUAUAUAUAUAUAUAUAUUGCUUAUAAAUAUAUUGCUCAUAUAUGUAUGAGCAAUAAGUCUUCAACAAUGCUUAAUUGAAUGUUUGUUUUGUCUGUGUCUGUGUCUGUGAAUCAAACAACUAUUCAGUUUGUUUGCACUUAGCCAGCCAUCACUGAAAAUCUGUACUAACUAGCAUUUUUCAGACUAGUCAUUUGAAAUUGAUUUUGGGGAUACUUCGUUUUCUUGAUCAGGAUGCACUUGCUGUUGGAUUUUUUAAAAUAACUUUGUGCCCUCAUUUUCACUGUGUGGAUGGUAACCCUGUUCUUAUCUUAGUACCUCUGUUACAAAGAAGGAGUAUUUUAACAAAAUGCUCUUUGUGUGUGUAGUUUUUAUUAUGAUAUUGUUGGUUUUCUAUCUACCAUUGCUAGUUUUAUAUAUCUCAGUCUGUUUUUUUCUACUCUCUCAACAGCCAAAAAGAAAACAACUAAAUCUUUCAAACCUGGGCUCUUUUCAUGGAAAGGAAAGAAACAGAAGGUUGUCCAAUCAGGUAAAAAAAUCUCUGCAGACUGAUGCAGCAUAUCUGCACAACAGUGUCAAAGAGACAACAGUGGAAACAAUGAAUGCUUCAAAUGCAUAUCAAUUCCACAAAGACUGUUUUUUUAUCUUUGCAUACUAAUUUCCUUUGUCAGAUGUCCCUGAGACAUCUCCUCUGCCCACCAUGGACCCUUUGCUUCACUUGGUCUCCCUUCAGAAGGCAUCUGGCUGCUGGGACCUUAGUCCAGCUUUGGCUACAGCACUUGGCAAGACUAGUGAAGAGUUGAAAAAGCCAAAGCCUGCAUCGGUCUGUUAUUUUUAAAACAACAUUUGAAAUGUUGUAAGGGACUGAGUGUGAAUAAGAUUUCAUAAUCUAUUGCCUGCAAGAUCUUCAUCUCUCUAAUUUUGCUACUAAGGUGAAUAUGGAAAUAUGGGCCACUGUGCUGUCUCUGAUCUGGCUUCAUGGUUUCAAGAUGGACGUCAGGGAAGAGUGGGAGCUCCUGGCUAUGAAGGCUGUGUCAUGGCUCCGUGCCCAGAACUGUAAGAGCACUGAUAAACAUACAGAGCAUCUGGAAAGUAUUCAUAGUGCUACACUUUUUUUCACAUUUACCUUUAAAUUUGACACACAAUUACCCAUAAUGACAAAGUGAAAAAGUUUGUCUGAAACUCUUGCAAAUUGAUUGAAAGUUACAACUGAAAUAAAACAUGUACGUAAGUAUUCACAGUGUUUGCUCAGUACUUGGUCGAUUUACUUUUGGCAGCAAUUUCAGCCUCAAGUCUUUUUGAGUAUGAUGCCACAAGCUCGGCACACCUAUUUUUGGGCAGGUUCUCCCAUCCGUUUUUGGCAGAACCUCUCAAGCUAUACCAAGUUGGAUGGAGAGCAUUAGUGUACAGCCAUUUUCAGAUCUCUCCAGAGAUGUUCAAUUGGGUUCAAGUCUGGGCUCUGGUUGGCCACUCAAGGACUUUCACAGAGUUGUCCUGAAGCCACUACUUUGUUAUCUCAGCUGUGUGCGUAGGGUGUUUGUCCUGUUGAAAGAUGACUAUUCGCCCCAAUCCAAGGUCCAGAGUACUCUGGAGCAUGUUAUCAUUAAGGAUGUCUCUGUACAUUGCUGCAUUCAUCUUUCCCUUGACCCUGACUGGUCUUCCAGUUCCUGCUACUAAAAAACAUCACCACAGCAUGAUGCUGCCACCACCAUGCUUCACUGUAGGGAUGGUAUUGGAAAGGUGAUGAGUGGUGCGUGAUUUCCUCCAAACAUGACACUUGGAAAUUCAGGCCACAGAGUUCAGUCUUUGUGACACAUGAAAAUAAUUCUAAAUAAAACAGUAACACAAGAAAAUGUAAAAAAAAAAAAAAAGAAAGAAAAAGAAAAAGAAGUCUAGCUCUGUGAAUACUUUUCGGACACAUUGUAGAUAAAAUGUUGAGUGUGUGCACAGUUUAAAAUAAUCUUUUUGAUCACAUUCAAACCUCUGAUUGAUUUUUUUGUUUGUUUUAUUUUCAGCAUCAGGUCUAAAUGAGUGUGUGGAUGCUGGAAACGCACUCUUGGGCUGCAACGUCAAAAAAGACUCUCUGGGGUUCUGAGGUACUGACACAUGACUUCAAGAAUGGCGCAGAAUGAAGCCAUCCUAUAAUUACAGAUAAGUCAAUCCUAUAGCCUGUACUUGAUCAGCAUUAAACCAUAGUAUCUACACACCUGAAGGUGAUGUACAGUAGGUCCUUUGAUUAAUACUGCCUGCUGUCUAAUGUCUUCUGCUUUUUGAAUAAGCAAAGUGAGGCUUUUACUUUUCCUAAAAUGACAUUACUGAUAAAAAUGUCUACAGUGUGUGUUCUGUUGAGUACGUUAUUCGAUCUGUAGGGUGGUUUUAGACUUAUUUGAAACAUUAAAAUGUUUGAUGUAGGAAAGAGGCCUUUUGAAUACACAGUAGAUAUGAAGGACAACAUGCAAAGUGAAACUCAUUUUAAGUACUUAAACAAAACAGAGUUCACCCCAAAGCUCAGCCAAUCAUCCCAGUGGGGGUCAUCAUAAUACAUGAGUGCACUGCAAAAUGUGGGGUGUUAACAUUAAAUGAAGUGUUGCCUUUUUUUUUUUGGUUUUUUUUUUUGUUUGCAGUUUUUGCUAAUAAUUGUGGACAUAUUUCAUGUACAAAAACCCUUCCAAAUGUUGACAUAAAAAUAAUACAUGGAAAUUAAACCUUAAUAAAUGCUGUAAAGCAAGAUAAGCCUAAAAAUGAUCAAUUACACCAAGAUAAAGUAUUUCAUCAGUUCAGCAUGUCUACAUUAAAUUAAUUUUAAUUGUGGUGUCUUGCUUUUUAUGUAUAAAUUAAGGAAAAUCAAGAUUUUUGUCUUCGUCUGAUUUUUGAAAUUUUUAAGAAAAGUGCUUGUUUGUGUCAUGCAUUGUAGUCGGCUAACCAUACAACUUACAAUAAAGUUUGUGGCAAAAAUGCAGCCUCUCACAACUGACCUGUGUGGUUUGUCUCUUUUUGACUUGUGGACAAGUUUGUGAAUACAGUUUAACUGUAUAUGAAGGAAGUGAUUAGAUGGUUAAAUGUCAUUUUAGAAUUUCAAACAUAGCUGUUUUGGCUUUAGGUAGAAUUGGAAAUGACAAAAAACCUUUUGCUUAAUUUCUUUGCUUCUUCAUCCAUGAAUUCUUGUAGAAAGUAUUUUCUCUUCAGCUGAGUAGGAUAAUAAUGUGUUGAUGAAGUAGUAUAACAACACAACUUCCUCAACUCCUUCACUUCCUUAACAACCAUGAUCACACGUCACAGCACUAACCAAUCAGGGGCUAGGAACUCAAGGUAAAUGUGAAUGAACCACAGAAGCAUAAUAACAAUAGCACCGUGUUUGACUAUUUUCUGUCAAAAACAAACUUAAUGGCCUCAGCAAUACAGUCACCAUAGAGUCCAACAGCUAAGAGGCAGGAGCUCAAGUCCCUUUGAGCUCUAUCUGUAUAUGUGCCAGCUGGCCUGCACUGUAGUUAUACAACCAACUGCUCCAUCUGAGAGACAUACGUCUGCUAUAGGGUGUCUAAAAAGAUGUUAAUAGAUCCUUAUAACUACUUAACCAACAAAAUAAAAAAAACAUACAAACAAAAAACACACUUGAAACAUACCAGUCUGUAUUUAAUGAAUCUAUAUGAUCAAUGAAUCACACUUUUUGAAUUGAAUUAUUGAAAUCGAUUACACUUUUGACAAAACUCUUGUUUGAGCUGCACCUGCAUUUGUGUGACACAUUAGCACCCUCUGCUGUACGAAGAGAGCGAGAGAGGUGCUCACACCAUUCUUGGGACAAAUGCAAGUUGGAUCAGAGCCCCUCUGGUUGGCUAGUUUCAAGCAAGCAAACUCUGAUAGGCUAUUUGAUGUAGACAGGACCUCUUUUUUUUGCUGUGUUUUAACAGUUACUUUUAAAAUGGCUGUGGGGGCACACAAAAUCAGGC